ensembl:piRNA 21ur-1747 ncRNA
UGGUUCCUGCUAUUAGAACCC